AGCGGCGGACGGGUGAGUAACACGUGGGCAACCUGCCUGUAAGACUGGGAUAACUCCGGGAAACCGGAGCUAAUACCGGAUAGUAUCUUGAACCGCAUGGUUCAAGUUGGAAAGACGGUUUCGGCUGUCACUUACAGAUGGGCCCGCGGCGCAUUAGCUAGUUGGUGAGGUAAUGGCUCACCAAGGCAACGAUGCGUAGCCGACCUGAGAGGGUGAUCGGCCACACUGGGACUGAGACACGGCCCAGACUCCUACGGGAGGCAGCAGUAGGGAAUCUUCCGCAAUGGACGAAAGUCUGACGGAGCAACGCCGCGUGAGUGAUGAAGGUUUUCGGAUCGUAAAACUCUGUUGUUAGGGAAGAACAAGUGCGAGAGUAACUGCUCGCACCUUGACGGUACCUAACCAGAAAGCCACGGCUAACUACGUGCCAGCAGCCGCGGUAAUACGUAGGUGGCAAGCGUUGUCCGGAAUUAUUGGGCGUAAAGCGCGCGCAGGCGGUUUCUUAAGUCUGAUGUGAAAGCCCCCGGCUCAACCGGGGAGGGUCAUUGGAAACUGGGAAACUUGAGUGCAGAAGAGGAGAGUGGAAUUCCACGUGUAGCGGUGAAAUGCGUAGAGAUGUGGAGGAACACCAGUGGCGAAGGCGACUCUCUGGUCUGUAACUGACGCUGAGGCGCGAAAGCGUGGGGAGCGAACAGGAUUAGAUACCCUGGUAGUCCACGCCGUAAACGAUGAGUGCUAAGUGUUAGA
rnacentral:rRNA from 1 species